rnacentral:lncRNA from 1 species
CUAGUUUCAAAAAACAUUGAAUAACUAUGUUAAUGCAGGAGAGUUUCUAGUGGACAAAUAGAGGGACUCUACACUUUGUCUUUUGUUAUUGGACAUUUUUAGCAAUGAUUUGUAGCAUGACCUAGUGGGUUUGAAGUCAGAGUACCUAGGUUCAAAUCUUGUCUCAGCCAUGUACUCCCAGUGUGACCAUGGUUAGGUCUGCUGACUCCAUGGAUCUCAUCCACUUCUGGUAUGGACCUGCUGCCUCUCAAAUGAAACCUGACCAUCAAAAGCCUAAUUUUACAUAAAAAGAGAAAAAGGGACUGAGAGUGAGAAGUUUGGAGGCAGCGAGGUAAUCCAGUGCUGGGCUCUGAAGUGAAGAAGAUUUCAAGUUCAAAUUCUGCUUUAGACAUUCCCUACUUGUAUUAUGUGACCCUGUCCAAAUAAUUUCUGCUCUCUCUGCCUUGGUUUCCUCAUCUGCAAAAUGGGGAUAAUAAUAGGACCUACCUCCUAGGAUUGUUUAUGAGGACCAGAGGAGACAAUACAUGUAGAAUCUUUGCAAACCUUAAACCAUUAUAUAAAUGCUAACUAGUAUUUUUAUUAUU